rnacentral:lncRNA from 1 species
CUGGAUGGGAAAAUAAACGAGGGCUGAAGUCAGCUUCCUUGAUGUUUUAACAUUCCGUUUUAAUAUCAACUCCUCCUUUAAGAUCCGUAAACAUCGGGAGGAACGGCCUUGCUCCUUUUCUGCAGUGAGCUGGCUCUUUAUGUUUCUAAAUUCUCAACAACCUGCUGUGCUCAUCUGCCACUGUCCCUGGACCUGCAGAUUUCUGUCUCUUCUCUGCCACAUUUCCUCUGAUGCCACUCUAUCUUUAUUUUGAGAGAGAGGAGCUUUUAUUUCCAACAGCGGGAGAUAGAGUCAUGACAUAAAUGCUUGUAAUCCAGACCACGAUUUCAGGAGUACCAAAUUCCAGGUUCAGAUCAUCUGCUCUGGAAUAGACUCCCUCAUGGUCAAAAUUGGACAGAGCUCUGCUAGCCUCCAGGUACAUAUCCGUCCUGCACGCCAAUGGGCUCAGCCUGGAAAGACUGCAUGUUAUUUACUGAGUAGCAGGCCGUGCUAGUGUUGCCUGGGAGAAUCAUUUACUGUUGCCUGGUAAAUAAAUCCAGCUGCUCUAUUCUCUUAAGGCAGCCUGGAUGCAGGGAGAAGCGGACAGGCAGCGGGCUCAGUUGCCAGCAGCUGCAAAUCAGAGCUUACUCCCUGGUGAGACAGACAGUGCAGGGCUCGGGGAAGAACGCCUGGUGGGUUUUCUCUGCCUGGAGCAUCUUUGAGAAGGCACGUUUCAUCCACCCAUAAGACUUAAGAGAGACAGAAGAAAUGCCUUCUCCACGGGCAGAUGGAGUGAGCAGUGUAGAAUCCAUCACCACAGUUCAAGGCAUCUCAGAGACUCAUUUCUGAAGCCAGGGCAGAAGAAUCGUGCUGCAUCUCUACGGAAACGUAGGUUUGUCAGUGGUUUCUAUUUUUGUUUAUCUCCCAUUAUUUUUCCAGGUAUGUUUCUUCUUUCUCCGCUUGACUUCCUACCUCCUGCCCCUUCAUGUUUUUUUCUUCCCUUCCUUCCUCUUCCUCCUCUAGGAAAACAGGGGACUUUUACUUUUGUGUACUGGCUGAAAAAAAUGUAACAUCAGGAGACACUUUGAUAAUCCUGUGAUUGUGACCGUGAUAAGGAGGAGAGAAGGAAGAACAGCAAAACUAAUUUGCCCCCAUACAAAAUCACUCACCUUUUGCAGACAAACUGCCCAUUUUCUCUAUUCCAUUCAAGCUACACUGGGUGGGAAAAUUUCGAUCAUAAACUCCCUGAAGAUGGCGUUCCCAUCAUGGCUCAGUGGUUAACAAACCCAACUAGUAUCCAUGAGGACACAGGUUCGAUCCUUGGCCUCGCUCAGUGGGUUAAGGAUCCAGCAUUGCUGUGAGCUGUGGUGUAAGUCACAGAUGCAGCUCAGAUCCUGUGUUGCUGUGGCUGGGACGUAAGCCGGCGGCUACAGCUCCAAUUCAACCCCUAGCCUGGAACUUCCAUUUGCCGCAGGUGCAGCCCUGAAAAGACAACAACGACACACACACAAAAAUCACUGAAGAAUGUAAAACUGAAUUAUUUGUGUUAGGGUCUUUUUUAAAGGAAAGAUCAAUUUUUCUCUGGUUUUCAUACAUGUCACGUUCAAGUUCAUGUGUUUUUCAUGCUGGGGAGAUGGUGGGAGUGGAUUGUAUUUCAUGCAAGCAAUUCUUCUAAGGAGAUGUAUCAGUGAUAGUCAAUGCAGACUUCAAAACCUACUUCAUCUGAGACAGUGAACAUCUAGGGAAACAUGAAUGUACCUUUUUUCUAUACAACUAAAACCCAUCAGAGUAGCCCAGGUAGCCAAUAAUUCAAGUGCCAUUAUCUCAUUAUCCAUAGGAUCAAUUUUGGUCCCUGUGGUGCACCUGUAGACACUUGCUGCUGCCAACUGGGAAAGAAAAAAGCACAACCUAGAAGUUAUGAAUUAUGGUUUGUUCAGCAGAUUUUCUGGGGACUUUAAGCCCAGGAGGCAGCCUCUCAGCUCCGAGGACCGGCUCUGAAAAGGCCAAGGAGGAGCCAGGAUAUAGAAGAGUUUUUGCAGCAAAGACCAGAUAACAGCAAAAGAUUACUGU